GUCCCUUCGGGGACAUCUGAUAAAAUUGGAACAAUACAGAGAAGAUUAGCAUGGCCCUUGCACACGCACAAAUCGAGAAAUGGUCCAAAUGUUU
rnacentral:snRNA from 1 species